CCUACGGGAGGCAGCAGUAGGGAAUCUUCCACAAUGGGGGAAACCCUGAAGCAGCAACGCCGCGUGGAGGAUGAAGGUUUUCGGAUCGUAAACUCCUGUUGUUAGAGAAGAUAAUGACGGUAUCUAACGAAUAAGCACCGGCUAACUCCGUGCCAGCAGCCGCGGUAAUACGGAGGGUGCAAGCGUUACUCGGAAUUACUGGGCGUAAAGCGCGCGUAGGCGGGAUGGCAAGUCAGGGGUGAAAUCCUAUGGCUUAACGUGGGAACUGCAUUUGAAACUGGCAAUCUAGAGUGUGUGAGAGGAAAGUGGAAUUCCAGGUGUAGGAGUGAAAUCCGUAGAUAGCUGGAGGAACAUUAGUGGCGAAGGCGACCAUCUGGCACAUAACUGACGCUGAGGAGCGAAAGCGUGGGUAGCAAACAGGAUUAGAUACCCGUGUAGUC
rnacentral:rRNA from 1 species